UCAAAAACAUCUCUCUUUGACUAUGGAGGAUAAAGAGUAGUCCCUGCCCGGUGAUGAGAAUUUUACGGCGGCGUUAAGCUUUAAAGUAGCGUGGUAAGUUGUCCCCUAAUUGGGGUCUGGUAUGAAAGGGUUGACGGGGGGGGUCUGUCUCAAGACUAUUUUACGAAAUUUCCUUCCUGGUUAAAAGUCCAGGAUUUUUUUAAAAGACGAGAAGACCCCGUCGAGCUUAAAUAAGUUUAUUUUUGAUUAGUAGGCUGAAUUUUUAUUGGGGCAAUAUUGGAGAAGGUAAAACCUCUAAUAAAUUAAAUCAUGGAUCCUCACAUUGGGAUAAAAGGAAAAAGCUACCGCGGGGAUAACAGCGCGAUUCAACCUGAGAGGCCUUAUUAAAGGUUGAGAUUGCGACCUCGAUGUUGGAUUAGAAGGUCGCUUUGGAGCAGAAGCUAAGGUGGAGGGACUGUUCGUCCUUUAAUUUUCUACAUGAUCUGA
rnacentral:rRNA from 1 species